rnacentral:rRNA from 1 species
GGGUGCAGCAGGCGCGAAACCUUUACAAUGCUGGCAACAGCGAUAAGGGGACCUCGAGUGCCACGAUACAAUCGUGGCNGUCUAGUUGCCUAAAAAGCAAUUGAUAGCAAGGGCCGGGCAAGACCGGUGCCAGCCGCCGCGGUAACACCGGCGGCUCGAGUGGUAACCGCUAUUAUUUGGUCUAAAGGGUCUGUAGCCGGCUUAGUCAGUCUUUUGAGAAAUCUGGCCGCUCAACGGUCAGGCGUUCAGGGGAUACUGCUAAAGCUCGAGACCGGGAGAGGUGAGAGGUACUUCAGGGGUAGGGGUGAAAUCUUGUAAUCCUUGAAGGACCACCAGUGGCGAAGGCGUCUCACCAGAACGGAUCUGACGGCAAGGGACGAAAGCUAGGGGCACGAACCGGAUUAGAUACCCGGGUAGUCCUAGCCGUAAACGAUACUCGCUAGGUGUCGGCCACGGUGCGACCGUGGUCGGUGCCGUAGGGAAGCCGUGAAGCGAGCCACCUGGGAAGUACGGCCGCAAGGCUGAAACUUAAAGGAAUUGGCGGGGGAGCACAAGGGCGAAUUCGCG